rnacentral:rRNA from 1 species
UACUGCAUUUUUUCUUACACAUGUGUUUUUCUUUUUUUGAAAACUUUGCUUUGGUAGGCUCUAUAUGGGGCCUGCCAGAGAUUAAACUCAACCAAAUUUUAUUUAAUGUCAACCGAUUAUUUAAUAGUCAAAACUUUCAACAACGGAUCUCUUGGUUCUCGCAUCGAUGAAGAACGCAGCGAAAUGCGAUAAGUAAUAUGAAUUGCAGAUAUUCGUGAAUCAUCGAAUCUUUGAACGCACAUUGCGCCCUUUGGUAUUCCAAAGGGCAUGCCUGUUUGAGCGUCAUUUCUCCCUCAAACCCUCGGGUUUGGUGUUGAGCGAUACGCUGGGUUUGCUUGAAAGAAAGGCGGAGUAUAAACUAAUGGAUAGGUUUUUUCCACUCAUUGGUACAAACUCCAAAACUUCUUCCAAAUUCGACCUCAAAUCAGGUAGGACUACCCGCUGAACUUAAGCAUAUCAAUAAGCGGAGG